UACGUAGGGUCCGAGCGUUGUCCGGAAUUACUGGGCGUAAAGAGCUCGUAGGUGGUUUGUCGCGUUGUUCGUGAAAACUCACAGCUCAACUGUGGGCGUGCGGGCGAUACGGGCAGACUUGAGUACUGCAGGGGAGACUGGAAUUCCUGGUGUAGCGGCGGAAUGCGCAGAUAUCAGGAGGAACACCGGUGGCGAAGGCGGGUCUCUGGGCCGAUACUGACGCUGAGGAGCGAAAGCGUGGGGAGCGAACAGG
rnacentral:rRNA from 1 species